rnacentral:lncRNA from 1 species
UGUUGUUGUUGUUGUUUACUUACUAGUUAACUAAUCACUCCUACCUAUCACUUAGGUAAUGAUGAUAUAGCUUGUCCUUGAGAUCGACAAGUCGACAAUAUAUAAUCAGGAAGAGUCGGUCUCAUCAAGCACCGAAGAGCAGCAAAGACCCGGAGCAGAGCUGCAAGACAAAAAUCUCGUCACACGUCUCGGCAGCCUGGAAGAAACGGAUGGAGGAGGAGCUGGGAACUGAAUCUAAGAUUAGGAUGUGCCCUGAACGAACCAACCUGAUCUGUGCAUAGACCUAGGAGUUACUUACUACUUUUAACUGUGUUUCACCAGGUGGACGAAGGAUGUUACGUUGGUGUCGUCGUCGUAUCUGUGCUAGUGAGGCGGCGACUUUCGUGGAUCAUGGAUGGCUUGGACGUUGGGACAUGGAUUAGUUAACAUUAACUAGUUAACGAUGUUGGCGGGGGUCACCGACUUAGUCAGUCGCAGUCCGCAGCAGUGAAGUUAGUUAGUUAGUUAGUUAGCCAAGUUAGUUAUCAGCUGUCUAUUUUAGGUUAUGCUUUUCUACUGAACAGUGAGUAGUCAGUUACUAUGUACUGUAGCAAGUCAUGCAGUGGCGGUGAUUACCAAGUGGCGAUACUUUCGAGUAUAACUAGUUAACUAAAUACUGUGGAAGAAUACUGACAAUGAUCGGUGGCAACGGGUGCUAUCGUGGAUGGAACUGGCUCUUGCUUGCAGAGCAUCACUGAUUCUCCUAUUCCAUGACAAUUAGAAGGAAAGUGCGUGCGAUUAUAUCCCGCCCCAAAUGGGCCGAAUCGUGGGAGAAUUUCUAUAAAAAGCAGCAUGCUCCACCGACGACGAUAUGGAGGAUAUUUUUUCUUUUUCUCUGAGCGGCAUACUACAUACAGAUUUACUGAACUACUACAGUUCUACUGAAACGCUGACGGCGUACUGUUGGCAGGCGGACCGAACGACCAAUCAGCGAGACGGUACGAUGACUCGUUGGAUCUGGCGCGAUAAAGUAUGGAGGAGGAAUAAAUAGAGCUAUGAGCUAUGAAUAUGAUCCGUCACCAUCAGCAUUCCACAAGGGAUCAAUGAUGCUAUCUCCCGUGGGAUACCGAUCACCUCAGGCAUUAUCAGACAAGUACUCAUUAAGCAAUCAUAUCAUAGUACAGUGUAGUAAACUACUGCCGAGUCGACAAUAACCAGGUCGAAUGAUUGAAUAAUAUGAUUAAUUCGAUAACUAGUUAACUAACUAG